CAGCCGCCGCGGGAACACGGAGGGGGCUAGCGUUGUUCGGAAUUACUGGGCGUAAAGCGCACGUAGGCGGCUUGGUAAGUUAGAGGUGAAAGCCCAGGGCUCAACCCUGGAAUUGCCUUUAAGACUGCCGAGCUAGUAGGUGAGAGAGGUAAGUGGAAUUCCGAGUGUAGAGGUGAAAUUCGUAGAUAUUCGGAAGAACACCAGUGGCGAAGGCGGCUUACUGGCUCAUUCUAGACGCUGAGGUGCGAAAGCGUGGGGAGCAAACAGGAUUAGAUACCCCCGUAGUCCCUGUCUCUUAUAC
rnacentral:rRNA from 1 species